AACGAACGCUGGCGGCGUGCUUAACACAUGCAAGUCGAACGCUGAAGCCCCAGCUUGCUGGGGUGGAUGAGUGGCGAACGGGUGAGUAACACGUGAGUAACCUGCCCAUCACUCUGGGAUAAGCGCUGGAAACGGCGUCUAAUACUGGAUACGAGCAGCGACCGCAUGGUCAGCUGCUGGAAAGACUGGUUCGGUGAUGGAUGGACUCGCGGCCUAUCAGCUUGUUGGUGAGGUAAUGGCUCACCAAGGCGACGACGGGUAGCCGGCCUGGGAGGGUGACCGGCCACACUGGGACUGAGACACGGCCCAGACUCCUACGGGAGGCAGCAGUGGGGAAUAUUGCACAAUGGGCGCAAGCCUGAUGCAGCAACGCCGCGUGAGGGAUGACGGCCUUCGGGUUGUAAACCUCUUUUAGUAGGGAAGAAGCCUUCGGGUGACGGUACCUGCAGAAAAAGCACCGGCUAACUACGUGCCAGCCGCCGCCGUAA
rnacentral:rRNA from 1 species